AUCUAGCUUGCUAGAUGCUGACGAGCGGCGGACGGGUGAGUAAUGCAUAGGAAUCUGCCCGAUAGUGGGGGAUAACCUGGGGAAACCCAGGCUAAUACCGCAUACGUCCUACGGGAGAAAGGGGGCUUCGGCUCCCGCUAUUGGAUGAGCCUAUGUCGGAUUAGCUAGUUGGUGAGGUAAUGGCUCACCAAGGCGACGAUCCGUAGCUGGUCUGAGAGGAUGAUCAGCCACAUCGGGACUGAGACACGGCCCGAACUCCUACGGGAGGCAGCAGUGGGGAAUAUUGGACAAUGGGGGCAACCCUGAUCCAGCCAUGCCGCGUGUGUGAAGAAGGCCUUCGGGUUGUAAAGCACUUUCAGCGAGGAAGAACGCCUGGCGGUUAAUACCCGCCAGGAAAGACAUCACUCGCAGAAGAAGCACCGGCUAACUCCGUGCCAGCAGCCGCGGUAAUACGGAGGGUGCAAGCGUUAAUCGGAAUUACUGGGCGUAAAGCGCGCGUAGGUGGCUUGAUAAGCCGGUUGUGAAAGCCCCGGGCUCAACCUGGGAACGGCAUCCGGAACUGUCAAGCUAGAGUACAGGAGAGGAAGGUAGAAUUCCCGGUGUAGCGGUGAAAUGCGUAGAGAUCGGGAGGAAUACCAGUGGCGAAGGCGGCCUUCUGGACUGAUACUGACACUGAGGUGCGAAAGCGUGGGUAGCAAACAGGAUUAGAUACCCUGGUAGUCCACGCCGUAAACGAUGUCGACCAGCCGUUGGGUGCCUAGCGCAC
rnacentral:rRNA from 1 species